UAGGGAAUAUUGGACAAUGGGCGCAAGCCUGAUCCAGCCAUGCCGCGUGAGUGAAGAAGGCCCUCGGGUUGUAAAGCUCUUUUGUCCGGAAAGAAAAGCAUCGGGUUAAUACCCCGGUGUUCUGACGGUACCGGAAGAAUAAGCACCGGCUAACUUCGUGCCAGCAGCCGCGGUAAUACGAAGGGUGCAAGCGUUACUCGGAAUUACUGGGCGUAAAGCGUGCGUAGGUGGUUCGUUAAGUCUGAUGUGAAAGCCCUGGGCUCAACCGGGGAAUGGCAUUGGAAACUGGCGGACUGGAGUGCGGUAGAGGGUAGCGGAAUUCCCGGUGUAGCAGUGAAAUGCGUAGAGAUCGGGAGGAACAUCCGUGGCGAAGGCGGCUACCUGGACCAGCACUGACACUGAUGCACGAAAGCGUGGGGAGCAAACA
rnacentral:rRNA from 1 species